rnacentral:rRNA from 1 species
ACUCCUACGGGAGGCAGCAGUGGGAAUAUUGGACAAUGGGGGAAACCCUGAUCCAGCAAUGCCGCGUGAGUGAUGAAGGCCCUAGGGUUGUAAAGCUCUUUUACCAGGGAUGAUAAUGACAGUACCUGGAGAAUAAGCUCCGGCUAACUCCGUGCCAGCAGCCGCGGUAAUACGGAGGGUGCAAGCGUUAAUCGGAAUUACUGGGCGUAAAGCGUGCGCAGGCGUCUGUUAAGCGAGAUGUGAAAGCCCCGGGCUCAACCUGGGAACUGCAUUUCGAACUGGCAGACUAGAGUCUUGUAGAGGGGGUAGAAUUCCAGGUGUAGCGGUGAAAUGCGUAGAGAUCUGGAGGAAUACCGGUGGCGAAGGCGGCCCCCUGGACAAAGACUGACGCUCAGGCACGAAAGCGUGGGGAGCAAACAGGAUUAGAUACCCGGGUAGGCUCUGC